AUUGAACGCUGGCGGCAUGCCUAACACAUGCAAGUCGAACGGCAGCACAAUAAAGAUUUCGGUCUUUAUGGGUGGCGAGUGGCGGACGGGUGAGUAACGCGUAGGAAUCUGUCCUGGAGAGUGGGAUAACCCGAGGAAACUCGGGCUAAUACUGCAUGACAUUGAGAGAUCAAAAGCAGGGGACCGAAAGGCCUUGCGCUCUGGGGUGAGCCUACGUCGGAUUAGCUAGUUGGUGGGGUAAAGGCCUACCAAGGCGACGAUCCGUAGCUGGUCUGAGAGGAUGACCAGCCACACUGGGACUGAGGCACGGCCCAGACUCCUACGGGAGGCAGCAGUGGGGAAUCUUGGACGAUGGGGGAAACCCUGAUCCAGCGAUGCCGCGUGUGUGAAGAAGGCCUUCGGGUUGUAAAGCACUUUAGGUGGGGAAGAAAGGUAGCGAGUGAAUAACUUUCUGCUGUGACGGUACCCACAGAAUAAGCACCGGCUAACUCUGUGCCAGCCGCCGCCGUAA
rnacentral:rRNA from 1 species